rnacentral:rRNA from 1 species
AGUCGAACGAGAGAUGAGGAGCUUGCUCUUCAAAUCGAGUGGCGAACGGGUGAGUAACGCGUGAGGAACCUGCCUCAAAGAGGGGGACAACAGUUGGAAACGACUGCUAAUACCGCAUAAGCCCACGGCUCGGCAUCGAGCAGAGGGAAAAGGAGCAAUCCGCUUUGAGAUGGCCUCGCGUCCGAUUAGCUAGUUGGUGAGGUAACGGCCCACCAAGGCGACGAUCGGUAGCCGGACUGAGAGGUUGAACGGCCACAUUGGGACUGAGACACGGCCCAGACUCCUACGGGAGGCAGCAGUGGGGAAUAUUGCACAAUGGGGGAAACCCUGAUGCAGCGACGCCGCGUGGAGGAAGAAGGUCUUCGGAUUGUAAACUCCUGUUGUUGAGGAAGAUAAUGACGGUACUCAACAAGGAAGUGACGGCUAACUACGUGCCAGCAGCCGCGGUAAAACGUAGGUCACAAGCGUUGUCCGGAAUUACUGGGUGUAAAGGGAGCGCAGGCGGGAGAACAAGUUGGAAGUGAAAUCCAUGGGCUCAACCCAUGAACUGCUUUCAAAACUGUUUUUCUUGAGUAGUGCAGAGGUAGGCGGAAUUCCCGGUGUAGCGGUGGAAUGCGUAGAUAUCGGGAGGAACACCAGUGGCGAAGGCGGCCUACUGGGCACCAACUGACGCUGAGGCUCGAAAGUGUGGGUAGCAAACAGGAUUAGAUACCCUGGUAGUCCACACCGUAAACGAUGAUUACUAGGUGUUGGAGGAUUGACCCCUUCAGUGCCGCAGUUAACACAAUAAGUAAUCCACCUGGGGAGUACGACCGCA